GGUUUGAUUCUGGCUCAGAUUGAACGCUGGCGGGAGCGUUUUACACAUGCAAGUCGAACGGCAGCACGGACUUCGGUCUGGUGGCGAGUGGCGAACGGGUGAGUAAUGUAUCGGAACGCCUAGUAGCGGGGGAUAACUUCAUGAAAGCGUAGCUUACCACCGGCAUACGCCCUUCGGGGGAAAGCGGGGACCUUCGGGCCUUCCGCACUAUUAGAGCGUCGAUAUCGGAUUAGCUAGUUGGUGGGCAACGGUUCACCAAGGCGACGAUCCGUAGCUGGUUUGAGAGGACGACCAGCCACACCGGGACUGAGACACGGCCCAGACUCUACGGGAGGCAGCAGUGGGGAAUUUUGGACAAUGGGGAAACCCCUGAUCCACAUCCGGCGUGCGAUGAAGGCCUUCGGGUUGUAAAGCACUUUUGCAGGAAAGAAACGGCACGGGAUAAUACCCUGUGCAACUGACGGUACCUGCAGAAUAAGCACCGGUUAACUACGCUGCACAGCAGCCGCGGUAAUACGUAGGGUGUAAGCGUUAAUCGAACUACUGGGCGUAAAGCGUGCGCAGGCGCCCGGAAAGAAAGAUGAAUCCAGAGCUUAACUUGGAACUGCAUUUUUAACUACCGAGCUAGAGGUCAGAGAGGUGGAAUUCCCGCGUGUAGCAGAAAUGCGUAGAUAUGCGAGAACACCGAUGGCGAAGGCAGCCCCCUGGGAUAACACUGACGCUCAUGCACGAGCGGAGCAAACAGGAUUAGAUACCCUGGUAGUCCACGCCCUAAACGAUGUCAACUAGCGUUGGGGCCUUCGCCUUUGUAGCGCAGCUAACGCGUGAAGUUGACCGCCUGGGGAGUACGGUCGCAAGAUUAAAACCCAAAGGAAUUCGACGGGGACCAUACGCUGGUGGAUGAUGUGGGAUUUUCACCCGAUGCGAACGCGAAAACCUUACCUACCCUUGACAUGUCUGGAAUCCCGAAGAGAUUUGGGAGUGCCUGCAAGAGAACCGGAACACAGGUGUGCUGCAUGGCCGUCGUCAGCUCGUGUCGUGAGAUGUUAAGUUAAGUCCCGCAACGAGCGCAACCCUUGUCAUUAGCAAGGCUUAAAGGCACUUAAUGAGACUCGCCGGUGACAAACUGGAGGAAGGUGGGAUGACGUCAAGUCCUCAUGGCCCUUAUGGGUAGGGCUUCACACGUCAUACAAUGGUCGGGACAGAGGGUCGCCAACCCGCGAGGGGGAGCCAAUCCAGAAACCCGAUCGUAGUCCGGAUCGCAGUCUGCAACUCGACUGCGUGAAGUCGGAAUCGCCAGUAAUCGCGGAUCAGUGGCUGUCGCGGUGAAUACGUUCCGGUCUUGUACACACCGCUCACACCAUGGGAGUGGGUUUACCAGAAGUAGUUAGCCUGAACUGCAGGAGGGCGAUUACCACGGUAGGAUUCAUGGCUGGGGUGAAGUCGUAACAAGGUAG
rnacentral:rRNA from 1 species